CACGUAGGCGGACUGGUCAGUUGGGGGUGAAAUCCCAGGGCUCAACCCUGGAACUGCCUCCAAUACUGCCAGUCUUGAGUCCGAGAGAGGUGAGUGGAAUUCCUAGUGUAGAGGUGAAACUCGUAGAUAUUAGGAAGAACACCAGUGGCGAAGGCGGCUCACUGGCUCGGUACUGACGCUGAGGUGCGAAAGCGUGGGGAGCAAACA
rnacentral:rRNA from 1 species